rnacentral:siRNA from 1 species
CACAUUUUGCUGCACUCCCUGCUG